GGGGGUGAGAUUUCAGGCCACACACUGUGGAAGGUAAUCAUGUCUGAUCACAAAUUUUGGGUCUCCACCUUACUUCCAAUCUAUGUUGUGAAUGCCCAGUUGAGACCCACGGAAAAGAGCUCAUGGGUGAGUGUGAAGUGCUUCUCUGUCUUAAGUUCCCAGAGAUCCUUGCCUCUUGGAGGCCAGCAAACACUAACUCUUGAGGAAUUCAUGACAAUAUCAUCUGAUUCCUCCUUCCCAGCUUGUAUGGCAGUCUCCCACCCUCAUGUGUUC
rnacentral:lncRNA from 1 species